rnacentral:RNase_P_RNA from 1 species
GCAGAUGGGCGGAGCAUAGCCGUCUGGGUAAUUCUAGAUGGAGGAAAGUCCGGACUGCAUUGGGACGGCGUAUGGGCUAACGGCCCAGCGGGGUAACCCGACGAUUAGAGCAACAGUGACGUAAGCGAUUAAAUUCGUAGUGAAACGGGCAAUCUCUACGCGCAGCAACUUCAAAUAGGCCCCCUAUGUAUGUCCCUAACGUUAUGGGGGCGGGUAGAAGGCAUGACAUUUUGUGGCGACACAUUAUGCAGAUUAAUUAUGCUCGCUACCCUUGACUUGUGAAAACUCGUCUUGGGCAUGUACAGAAUCCGGCUUAUAGCUAAAUCUGCAAAA